UCCACCAAAAUUCAACCACCCUUUUGAAUAAAUCUCAUUUAUCCCUACAGGGUCUCUUAUAAUGGACCUAUCAAAAAAAGGUGUUAGAUGUUGAGGUAAUGACAAAGAGGGUGUGUUUUUUUCAAGGUUGGAACAAAAGUAAGACCAUGCUUUCAUAAACAAGGUUGAAGAUUUUCCAUCAACAGCUGCAUGGUGUGUGGUUAUACCAAUACAAAAUCCAUGGUUAGGAAAAAAAGUGACUUGUAGUGAAAUAAUUGAUGCUUUUUCAUUUGAAAUCUCCAAACUUGGGAUUAAGUGUUGUUUUUUUUCAACUUCACAAAAAUUUGAACAUAAAAGGUUGAAAUUUUCAUUUGAUUCAGCUACAAUCAAUGGAAUGGAAUCACUAGGGACAUAGUUGAUGAUGGGAUGUGAUGAAUCUUGUGGCCAUGUGAUGUUACCAACAAGAAGGAAGAGAGUGUUUGAGAUUUGGAAGAAUGGAAUCAAAAAAAGAAGUGGUUGAUAAAUUUGGGUGUUCAUAAAAGAAGAGACGUUCAACUGGUGGGAGUCUUAGCCAUAGUGAGUCAAAGAAAGUGAAGGGAAAAGUAGUUGGGGAGGUUUCAUUUUGAGGUGCUAUUGAAAAAUUUUUAUGAACUUUGAGAGAUAUUGCCAUGAGAAAUUGAUGAGGAAAUGAGGCUUGGCAAUUUGUAGACUUAAUAAGCAUUUUAUGAUGAUGAUGAUGAUGAUACAUAGGCUAUGAAUAUGCUUUCAAUAUAUGACAAGGACAUAUCUAGGAAUCACACGUCACAUGGUUCGAAUUGGUGAGGAUUUGAAGUAUUUAUCUAAGGGGAACUUCUACGGUACACUGUAAAUUAAGGUGUACUGGUAUUUUUAUUUCAUAAAUUUAUAAAUUAAUGAUCAAUUUUAUGAAAUAAAUAGUUAUUUAUCGGUAUUUAUAUUUUAGAAAAUACUAUUUCAUAUGUCAUUCAUUGUUUAUAAGAAUCAUAGUAUUUUUUUUAGAUAUUAUCGUAUAAAAUAAUCAAAGUUCUCUAUUAUAAGCGAUAAAAAUUCAAAAAAAUCAAUUUUAUUUCGUUUACGCUUGUGAUGAAUAAGAUUUAAUCAUUAUAAUUAUAAAUAAAAAAUAAUAAUAUUUUUCUUCAUAAAAUAACUCAUUUACCAAUAAAAUUAAAGGUUUGGUGUACCGAUACACUCAAAUAUGUUGGGUGUACCGUAGAAUUUGUCUAUGUAAGCUCCUUUUCACCUUAUUGUUUUGUUUUUUACUUUAGGAAAUUUUUGAUGUAGGAUGUCGGCAAAGAUGUUGAACAUAUUGGUUUCAAGUCAUACGUGUCGAAAAGGCAAGUUUGCAAAUAAAGGGUGACCAUUCUUUGGAUGAUCUCCGUGCUUUUUUUUUUUAUUUGUGUUUGAACUUCGAAACUUGCAUAUAUAAUGCAUUGUCUAUACCAACUAAAUUAAAUUCACGAACACCUCUUUGUGUUUAACGUUGAUAUAUAAAAUACUAACGAGUUUUUAAAAUUUUACCAUAUCAACUUUCUUAUAUUGUAUUUAAAAAUUUACUUAUGUAAUUUUAAAUUUUUAAAAUCUACAACAAGCGUGGGCCAAAUAUUUAACGUGUUUUGUAUAUAAAAUAAAAAAUAUUUAAUAAAAAAAUACAUUAAUGUCGAUAUUUUGAAAAUAGUCACGAGUUUUCAAAAUAUUAUCAUAUCGACUUUCUCGUAUAGUACAUAAAAGUUUACUUCUAUACAUUUGUCAAUUUUUUUUACUUCUAUAUCUAUAAGUAAAUAAAAUCUGCAACGGAAGCGAUGCAAAUAUUUAACAGAUUUUUGCAUACUAAAAAAAAAUAUUUAAUUAAUAAACCUCUUAAAACAUAUUUAACAUAAACAUUACAUUAAUGCCGAUAAUUUUCAUCUAAUACAUUUAUACAUUUUACAAUAUUUACAAUGUAAUUAUUUUUUAUAUAAUUACCACAAUAUUACGCGAUCUAUCUGAAUACACAUAUUUUUACUAAUGAUGCUUAAAGAGCCACCAUCGAUCUAAAAUGGUACACAAAAAUGAAUAUGAAUAUGUACCUUGACUGACCUCGACAUAAAUGUUACAAUAAUGACGUGGCUAUGCAUUGUUGCAUCUAGAAGUAAAACACCAGUACACCACCUUAAUUUGGUGAAAUUAUUCUACCGACACAAUCAUAAAUAAUAAAUAUUUACAUUCACAUCAAAUACAAAAAUUAAUAAAAAAUAAAACUAAAUAACAUUGAUUGAUGUGGUUUAUUUAUUUUUAUUUUAAUUUUUUCUAUUUGAUGUAAAUGUGUUCAAAUAUUUAUCAUUUUUGAUUGUGUUUACAUAAGAGUUUCUUAAUCAAUCCUAAACAAAAAUAUUCAUAGAAAAGAAUACGUGGACUGCAUAAUGCAUUAUUUCAAUUACUUGCUUAUCACAUCACAAUCACAUACUAUAUUAUUCCUUAAAAAAAUCACAUACUAUAUUACUGGCAUCUUGACAUUAUGCUAAGAAAAUAUAUAAGACGACAAAAAAACUAUGACUACAACAUGUUUGAAAGUUUACACUGUGGAGAGAUUCAAGGAGACAAACAUUGAAGGCGCCUUGAGUUUGAGAUAAAACAAGUAUAUGAAGCUAAAACAUCCAGAUUUGAGGAGGCAAAGCUUACCAUUCAUUAAUUCAUUUCAAUCUAACAAAUAUCCUUAAAAAAAAAUUGUGAAUAUUUUUCUUUUUUCUCUUUUACAAUUUGUUUUUUCUCCAGAUUUAUUUAAUAACUGAUGUAUUUAGUUUAUAUUGUAAACCAAAAACAUUAAUUAUAUAAUAAAUCUUUAAACAAAUUGUUUAUGUCUGAGACCAAAUUCAUAAUAAAAUACUCUCUCCGUUUCAAAUUGUAUAACGUUUUGGACAUUUCACACAUAUUAAGAAAUGUAAUUAAUAUUGUGUGAGAAAGAGAUAUUAUGAGUUGUUUUACAAAAUUGUCCUUAAUAAAUUAUAUGAGAAAGAUAAAUGAAUGAAUUGAAAGAAAAGAGAGUAAUAAAUAGUUAAAGACAUAAUAGAAAAAGUAACAUUAAUAUUUUAUUAGUAUUGUAAAGCGACAUAUAAUUUGCGACAAUUUUUUUUCUUUCUAAAAUGACUUACAAUUUGGGACGGAGGGAGUACAUAUUAACAUAAGUAUUUUAAUUUGACAAAAAAAAAAUGUAUUUUAAGAAUUUAUCUUGUCCUACUUGGGGUGAUGAGCUAGAAGACAUUGAGCGAGUUUAAAGCAAAAGGUCCUCAACAAUUUCAAUUUCCAAACUUAUAAAAACAAUUCAAAAUAUAAAUCCAAGAUGUGAAUCGUCUGAUCUAAAUCGAGAGAUUAAAAUCUACAACAGUACGAUUGUGUUUUUUUAAAAGGCAAAGUAAUAUAUGAUAGACAAUCCAUUUUCUUGAUACAAUUACAAUGAUUCAAGUCCUUGAACAAAAAGUUGAGCAAAAACCUCCAUUUGUUGUUUGUUCAAAGCCAAACCAAUCUCAAUUCCACCAUCAUUAUUCCUAUUCUCCGAAAGAGAAAAAGCUCCUGUUUUAUCAAUAGAAGUAACAUCAACUUUCUUAGGUUUACCCCAUCCAAAAUCAAAACUAUAAACAUCAAACCUAGGUGACCCGGCAAUAGAAAACAUCCUAUCUGUCUCACUCAUUGUAGAUUGCAUUAUUGACAUCCAAUUCUCCAAACCCUUCAACACACCAUUUUCCAAACCCUUCAACACAUCACUUAUCCCUUCAAGAGCACUAAUAAAUCCAUCAUCUUUUAAAAAUUCCUCGGUUUCACCCAAAACUAAUUUUGACACAACACAAUUUCCAAAAUAAUUUGCAUUAAUUGGUGGAUCCAAACGUGGCCUACAAUCCACACUAAAAAUAAAAGGUACCUUGUUGGAUUUUGGUUGGUCAACUUUUAUCGUACAUGCCAACAAAUAAGCACAAGUAACUGAAAAAGUUGAAAGCUUAAUAACCUUGUUAUUUUUUUCAAUCUUGGAUUGUGCAUGUUUCUUAAGCUUUUGAAUAUCCAAAGGUGACAAUUGAAAAAUACCUUUGGUUGCUUCACCCUUUAUUGUAUUAAUUGUUUCCCAAACCUUCAAGCUUCGAUUAUUUGUUUCUCCACCAAAAUUCAACCACCCUUUUGAAUAAAUCUCAUUUAUCCCUAUAGGGUCUCUUAUAAUGGACCUAUCAAAAAAAGGUGUUAGAUAUUGAGGUAAUGACAAAGAGGGUGUGUUUUUUUCAAGGUUGGAACAAAAAUAAGACCAAGCUUUCAUAAACAAAGUUGAAGAUUUUCCAUCAACAGCUGCAUGGUGUGUGGUUAUACCAAUACAAAAUCCAUGGUUAGGAAAAAAAGUGACUUGUAGUGAAAUAAUUGAUGCUUUUUCAUGUGAAAUUUCCAAACUUGGGAUCAAGUGUUGUUUUUUUUCAACUUCACAAAGAUUUGAACAUAAAAGGUUGAAAUUUUCAUUUGAUUCAGCUACAAUCAAUAGAAUGGAAUCACUAGGGACAUAGUUGAUGAUAGGGUGUGGUGAAUCUUGUGGCCAUGUGAUGUUACCAACAAGAAGGAGGAAGUGGUUGAGUGUGAGCUCAAGGGAAUGUUUGAGAUUUGGAAGAAUGGAAUCAAAGAAAAAAUUGGUAGAUAAAUUGGUGUGUUCAUAGAAGAACAAACGUUCAACCGGUGGAAAUCUUACCCAAAGUGUGUCAAAGAAAGUGAAGGGAAAAGUAGUUGGGGAGGUUUCAUUUUUUGGUGAUAUUGAAAAAACUUGAUGAACUUUGUGAGAUUGUGCCAUAAGGGAGGGAAGAAAUUGAUGAGGAAGUGAGGCUUGGCAAUUUGUUGACUUUAUAAACAGUUUAUGAUGAUGACGAUGAUGAUACAUAGGCUAUGAAUGUGCUCUCAAUAUAAUAAUAAUAAUAAUAAUAUAAUAAUACAUUCUUUAUAAAUCAAUUCCUUAAGGUAUCCAAUUUAUUUGCAUACAAAUAGUGCAUACAAACAAUUUCAACACUAAUAGUGCAUACAAAUCAAUUCCUUAAGGUAUCCAAUUUAUUUGGAGGAAAGAUGUCCCGUUUAAGAUAUCGGUAUUUGCUUGACGACUUUUUCGUAAUAGAUUGUCUACGAAUGAUAAUUUAUUUUAAAGGAGGAUUAUAUAGGAAUAUGCUCAGUUGUGUGCUUCUGGAUGUGGGAUGUUUGAAUCGGCGGAUCACCUAUUUUUGCAUUGCGAUGUGUUUGGUCAGGUUUGACAACUUGUUCGUCAUUGGUUAGGUGUUUCUUCAAUAAACCCAUUAACCACCUCGGAUCAUUAUCUUCAGUUUUGUAUUUCUUCUGGUUUUGCUAAUUCCAGAUGCUCUUUUAUGCAUUUAGUAUGGUUUGCAAGCAUUUGGGCAAUUUAGAAGGAAAAGAAUGCAAGAAUAUUUUGUGUAAAAGAAUCAUAAGUUCAAAUCUAGGUCACCACAUUUCACCUCGCUUAUGUGUGUGUUUAUUUGAAUAUUUGUUGGUGACUAAGCUAAUAAAAAAAAUACGCAGUAAGAUUCAAUAACAUGAUUUUUUAGUUUGUACAAAAAAAACAUAAUUUUUUAGUUUCCUCCUUGUUUUUUAGGACGAAGGAGGGUGCAAGAUAAUUAAAGUGGCUUCUUAUAAUUUUUUAUUUUAUAACAAUGAUAGUUUUAUUAAAUGCUAAAACUGUUUAAACAUUCAAUAUAUUAAGUUUUUUUUUUUGUUACGGUCAAUGCUUUUCUUAGUGUCAAUAUUAAAGAUAUAAAAAAAAAAAAAUUAAAAAACCGUUUAUGGGAUUUUAUUCUUCAUUAUUGAAGGCUGGAUCUAACCUAAGGAUCCAUCUAGACUUCAUAACGUGCAAAUCAAUAUUAGUUAAUGAUCUAGUCACGAUGAUUAUUUAUACUCAGUGUCUUACAUACUUCAAAUAUACUUAACUUUACUAGAGGAAACCUAAAACUUAUUUUCUCUGAUCACAUUUAUAGUAGAUAUUCGUCCGUUAUUUAAUUAAUCUAGAAAAUGAAUAGUUGUUUAUAAUUUUUGUUUUGGUAGUGUAUAGUUGUUUAUUAUUUUUUUUGACAAAAAUAAAAUGAUAUUCAUUCAUUCAAAUCGAGAGAUUACAUCAUUCAACACCGCUAAAAACGUAAAGGAUGAAUCUGCGAACAAACUUACAUCAUCUAAGUUAAUAGCAUAUAACAACAUAAUGCCUACAAAAAUAUAUGAUAAAAUUAAAGUGAUCGGAAUAUCCAUGACCUCCGAAUCUGCAACGUUGAUGCCCAAAUCUUUGAUUGAAUAAUCGAUCUUUCAAUAUGAAUCAAAUGAACACCUCACGAAGACGGGAAAUCAAACAACACCGCACAAGACGACGAACAACAAACCACCACACUUAGAUGAUGAAAUCACAAAGGAAAAACAAAAAAACCUAGAUCUAUAUAUGUGAAAAUCACUUAUUUAGAUUGAAAUAGAGAGAAAAGAUGAAGAUGAGUGAUUUCAGGUCAAGAAUUGACCCAAAACCACCCCUCAAUGGAGAAACUGUAAGAGAAAACCUAAAGAGAUAAAACUAGAUUUGCCUUAUUAGUGUAUAGUUGUUUAUAAAUGUAACAAGAAUUUUAUAUUUUUAAUGUCAUAUAGUUUUUUUGUUAUAUCACUAACAACAUAGCCUUAAUAUUUAAUACUACUAAUUUUAUUUUUUUUGAAAGAAUUUAAUACUACUAUUUUGAAAACUCGUAUAACAUGCAUUCAAUGAAGGGCGUAAGCCCUCUUUUACCACAAAAAAAAAAACUCGUAAUGGAUGUUGCUAUCAACGUAGUCGUGAGUCUAUGAGAAACGAAUCUUAAUUGUUGAGUUAGGUCAAUACAUUUGUCUCACCAACUCCGUCAUAUGCAUCCAAGCAGGCAGGCAGCUGUAUAUCAUUUGGAUUUGGAAGCUUCUUUUCUACUUUUGAAAAUCAUUUCUAAAAUAUACUAAAAAAUUUAAAAAUUUAUGUCAUUCUAAGACAAAAAUACUUUUUUAUUUAUUUCCAAAAUACAUUUUUUUAUGUGAAAAAAUAUAUUUUCAUAUUUGUGGUAGGAGAGAGAAGCUCUCAUUUCAUUUAACAUAUUUUAAAAGAGAUAUUUGAGUCAAAAAAAAUUAAUGUAUCUGAUCAAAAUAAAACCAAAUACAUCUAUCCGUUGAUUUAAAUGUUUUUUAUAUCUAUAAUUGGGAUUGUAUGAACUUAGUUUUUCAUUUUGUAUGGCAAGCAUAUGAGUUAUGUCCACACUUUUAUUAUCGCAAAAUUAAAUGACGUGGUAGUUAACAAUUGUUUCAAUGUUGUUUUUCAUUUGAAUUAAACAUUCAAGACAUUGUUUAGUUUUAUCUUCUUUCUAAUGUACUUUUAGUUGCUUCAUCAUGUAUAAUAUUAUAUAUGUUAGACAAAUCUCUCUAUUUGCUAAAAAAAAAGAGACAAAUCUCUCUAUCUCCAUGUAUAUUCCAUACUUAAAGCUUAUCUCUAUGUAUAUUCUAUACUUAAUGCUUAUUUUUGUCUAAACUUAAUCUUAGCUUGGCUCAGAUGGCUCAUAUAUGUCAAUGUAUUUUGAUAGUUGCGGCUGUGUUGAAUUGUAAAUUUAAAACAUUUUAAUAUAUGGGGUUUAAGUUGAUUUUAAUUAAUUAUGUGUUGAUGGUACGUGAGUCGACUUCGUGUUAACGAUCGAUUCAUUUGCUAAAUGUUAGAUCCGAGCUUGAUUGUUAGAAUUGUUUAAGAUUGGAUCUACUUUAUGGAUAUUUUAGGGUUGUUGACCGAGUCAGGUUUUAUGUCCCUCCAAUUUUUAUGUAUUUUUUAAUAAUAUAUAUGAAUAAUUGACACUGAUUAGAGUAACAUACCAACUUAGUUGGACACUAUUCCUUUUUAUGUCAUUUUACUCUUAGCUUAUAAAAAAUUUAAUCAUGUGUUUUUUUUAUAAAAUAUUUUCUUUCAAAAACAAAAAUCUUAAGAAAAAAAGUGAUGUUAACAAAGAAAAAGGGGUUAAAAUCCUCUCCAUUCACUAUUUAUUUUUUGUUCAUUGAGGUGACAAAACAAAAGACCAGCACUAGGAGUAUCAAUAUAGCAAUGCAAGGGGGAGUUGGAAGUAAAGAAAUUGUCACGUUUUCCAACUAAUAGCAUGUUUGGAUUUAUGUUGCAGUGCCUUUUUCGAGUCUCAUUGCGUUCUAGACGUGAUAAUAAAGAAGCUUUAAUUUGUAGAGUUUGGAAAAACGUACGUUUGGUGGUAUCCCACUGUGGAAACAAACACAAGUUAAAGGAGGAACAACGGCAAACACUUUGUGAAACAAUUGAGCUUAAGACGUUUUGGUGAUUGAAAUCAAAAUAUAUUACAUUCGAUUUUGAUUACUAUUUUUUGAAGGAUUAAUCAUAUUCAUUGUUUGUCUUUUUUUUUAAGAGCAAUGAUACAUGGACAUUCCCAUGUGGCAUACCACCAUCUACACCCUUCCAUGUGGCAUUUUUUUAUUAGUUAUAAUGGGCAAUUUUGUCUUUAAAAAUAAAAUGAGGGGCAAUUUUGUCCAAUACACUCACAACAACUUUCUCACCCUCUCUUUUCUGUCUUUCUUCUCCUUUACCGGCCACCACCACCAACUCCCACCGGCCACCGUUGUCCUCCGUCCUCAACCUCAAAUAUCACAUCUACCACCACCAUCGCCACCGUCCAAAAGCUAGAUCUCACAACCGUCGCCCUCGUCUCGAAGCUCAGAUCUCACCACCACUGCAGCCACCACAACCACCGUCAUUUUCAGAUCUAAACACACCCAUCGAUCGUCAUCAUUAACCUCUCAUCUCGACGCCUCCACCACCACCGUCCUCGCACUCUUUCUCCAAAACACAACAACAACAAUUUUAAACAAACCCAAAACAAGAGACGGCGAUGGCGUCGGAAUUUGAGGAAACAAGUGGCAGAGAGAAAGAGGUGAGGGAGAAGAGAGAAAUAGAGACAACCAUUUGAGGAGAAGGAGAGAAAAAAAUCAGAAUAGAGAGAUAUGAGGAGAAAGAGGAGAUCGGCAGGAAGAGAGAAGGAGAAAAUAAAAUUAGGGAGAGAGAAAGAUGAGAUAAGAUUUCAGGGGAGAGAGUGACAAAAAAUUUAAAAUUAAAAUGCCAUGUAGGAGGUGUACAAUGUGGUAGAGAAAAAAGGAGGUCUAUGAUGUAUCCUUUUUCUUUUUUUAAAGUUGUUCCUCUCUUUUUUUGCUUAUCCUUUAUUGAAUUUGUGAUGUAACAUUGUAACUCUUGUAAGUUUUUCCGAUAAACCUUGAGUUGGAAGGAGAAAUAAUACAAAGGUAAGGGACAUAGACCAAACCCACAAUGAACAUAAGGAAAUUUAUGAUUAUGCAAAGUUGAAUAUAUUCAUAAAGAAAUCCACCUACAAAAGCUUUGUCAUCGCAUUCCACCAACUAAAAUCAGAAAUGAUCAUACAAAUGAAACUAACCAAAAUAUGAAAAUUCUAUUAAUGAUGAUAUAAGUAUCUACCGAGUUCCCUUAAAAAAAAUAGUCUAUACCGAGUCCAAAACAACUAAAAUACUCGUAUGAGUUUAUACAAAUAAGUACUCCGUCCUAAAUUAUAAGUAAAAAAAACCUAUUUUCUUUGUCCCAAAUUAUAAAUAAAAAAGACUAACUUUUAUCAUAUUCAAAUAUGUUUUUUUAAAAAAUUAUCUUUUUCAAAGGAAAAUUAAAUGCAAAAUGCAUUCAAUUUGCUCUCAUUUUCAUUUUCUCUAUAAUCAACUACCAAUGAAAAUUAUUUUUACAUCUUCCUAUAAAACUUAUUUCAAAGAUAACACAAAAAACUAUGUUACAAACUACUACCUAUAUUUUAAUUUUUUUAAUAAAUGUGAUUUAUGUUUUUUUGCUUAUAAUAUAAAACGGAGGGAGUAUAUUCAUUAAUUUAACCAAGAAUGGUGUACUGUACCCAACAUAUUUAAAGUGUAUCAGUUCAGUUCAUCAAGAAUGAUUAAACACAUAUUUUAUCAUUAUUUAUGAAUCAUAUGCAUGAUUCGAUUAAUUAAUUGAGACUAAAUUAGAUAUUUAGUUUCAUAAUUGAUUUUAUAGUUUUAUUUGGUCUCAUAACUACAACUACUUGCGCAUUGGUCCCUAAAAUAGAUUUUCGUUAGUGGUCUCAUUAUGUCAAUUUAAACCUCAAAUGUUUAAGGUGGAUCAACAUUGUAGGUACUACAAUAGAUCUCAUUAUAUAUAUAAUUUUAACCAUUAUAUUUUUUUAUAAAAAAUGGGGAUCAUUGGAUAUCAUGUAGAUCUAUUAUAUCUUAUCGUAAACUAUAACACCCUACUUCUAUUAAAGCAAUUAAACAUGCGAAUAAUACAUUUAUUCAAGAAAUAGAGGCUACGCCACAUUCAAAAUUCAAAAAACCAAUAAACAUGUAUAUAAACCUCAACAGUCGCAGCGGAAUAUUAACCAGAGUAAAUCCAAGUAUACAUGUUAUGAAUCAAUAAAUUACAUCAACAUCGAUGCAUCUCAAAAAUCCCAACAAACGGGUAAUCUCCAAUCAUAACAAAAUCCAAAAUAUAAGAUAAUCUAGACCGACACAACGAAGCCUAGAUCAGAGCCGACUAAACAUCUAAACACCGAUAUCGGAGAAAGCUCGCGAUAUCCACCAAGCACAAUACUCACCAAGCAUCCUACACUUGCACAACGUCUACCCAUCCAUACAGAUAGGCAGGCGGUCCAUAACAGAUCCACUGGGGGUAAGUAUUACAUUAUCAUAAUACAAAUAACAAAUAACAUAAAUAUUUCAAUUUAAACAUCAUGCAAUUGAUCAAUAAUAAUAACACAUUAAUACUUACAUCACACCCCGAUAUCUCACAUCAAUAUUCAUCAAUCAUAUGAACAAUUAUCAAUUUACAAAUAUUCAUUCACAAUCACCAAUCACAUUUAUCAUGAAUAAUCAUUAAUCACAUUUCAUGAACAAUCACCAAUUACAUGUAUCAUGAAUAAAUAUCAAUUAACAGUUAUUCAUACACAAUCACCAAUCAUAUACAUCAUGAACAAUCACCAAUCAUAAGCCAUGAACAUUCACCAAUUACAUUUCAUGAACAAACAUCAUUCACAUGUAUCACGUACAAUCAUCAACACAAGUAUCAAGGGCAAUCAUCAAUCACAUACAUCAUUUAAGACUCAUGUCAUGAUAUGCACUUAUUGACACAUAAAUGCAUGUGGUACCAAAUCUCAACAAGGUCGUCACCUUUCGAUGCCACUUGCACAUCGUAUGUAAGGCUCACACCUGCCUUACAAUAAUCUCGAAGUAAAAGAGCUCAACCCUUUUACAACAACAUCGACUAUGAUGCAUGGACAUGUAUAAGGACUCGAUAAUGCGACAACAAUUAACAAUCUCAACCUCAAUAUAUAGGACAACACCCAAUUAUAUUGAUUAUCUCCACAACAUUGCAUUAUCAAGAAAACAUGCCCACACAAAUAAAUCAUAGCAUUCACCAUCACACCUCAACAUGAUUAUCAAUAAUCAACAAUGUCAUCCAACAUCAACUAUCACAUAUAGUUUCACCAUUUCAAACAAUUCUCAUAUUCCAAGUAAGAGAACAUACAACAUCUCAUGACAAAUAUCAUAUCCAACAUAUAAUCAUUCAACAUCAACUAUCACAUAUAGUUUCACCAUUCAAGCAUUCCUUACAUUCUAAGUAAGAUAGCAUACACAUCUCAUGAUAAACAUCAUAUCCAAUACAAUCAUUCAUUCAAACAUCUUCACUUAGUCAUAUAAGGAUAGUCACGAUAGAUUAUAAGAAAAUUGGUUCAAAGGAAACAUUUCCGACAAAAACCGUAUCAAGUGGCAAAAGGCCAACAUUGAUAAUUCCCAAGACAAAGCAACUUAGACAAAUUGAAAGCUCUCAAAAAAUCUUAAUCAAUAAUGUAGUCAUGAGCUUAAGCCACUUACAAACUAUUAGACAUCAGUUCAAAGAAUAACUUAAGUUCGUAUGAGAAAACCCAAUUUCACAAUCUUUCACAUUCCCAUCCGAAAUAUCAUUUUUGACAUGAUUAAGAUGUUUGACCAACCAUACAAGUCUUACCUAAGUCUAUAAGAGAUGUAGGUUUAACUUGUAAUCCUAUUUAGUUCACAAAAGUUCAUUUUGACAAAAUCCGACAUUUCCUAAAAUUCCAAGUUCCAUAUCAUUUCUUCCAUAUUUCAAAACCAAUUCAUUUUCAAAACAAAAACCAAGUUAGGAUCAAGCUAUGAUACUCUUAGAAGCUUAAUUAUAAAUUGAUUGAAUAAGGUUAAGAGUUUGGAAUCCAUUGGCAUGCUUAAAAGUACACAAAAACACGAAAAAACGAGGUUUCGGAAUUCUGCAGAACUGACACGGUCGUGCCAUCAGGAAGCACGGUCGUGCUCCCUUUACAGGAGAAACUGACACGGUCGUGUCAUCUAGACGCACGGUCGUGUCACCUCACCAGUACAGCAAAAUGCAUUUUUACGUUUUUGCGCAUAAAAUCUUGUUUUCGAAUCCGAUUUCAAUUCCGUUUUCGCCAAUGAAUUCCUAACACUUAGACCAUACAAACCACACUUGAAAACUUGACAUUUAAACAUUAAAACAACUUAAUCAACUCAUCCCAAAAUGACUUAUUUUGCAAAAGCACUUAAAAACCACUUUUACUCAAAAACCCGUUUUCUUCCCAAAACGAUUUCUCUCCAAAACCAAGUGAUUAAAACAGAAAAUCAUACCAUCAUAAUUCAUUAUAACAACUUCCUUAUCUCAUUCAACAUCAUCAAAAUCAAACUUCUUCUUUAUCAACCCAUUUUACAAAACCACCAACAACAACUCAUUUUCUCAACAACAAUCAUGAUAUAUGAACACCCAAGCCAAAAUUCAUGAUCAACAACAUAUCUCAGCAACAACAACAUCAAUUGAAACUUGAUUCACACACCAAUUCAACAACAACAUGUCAUAAGUCAUCAAUUAAGCAUAAUUUCACAACAACCCAUUUUCAUACAUUAUGAACAUAUUAUUUCAUCAUCAACCAUUCAUUUAACAUCAAAUAACAUAUCCAAACAUAUCUCUACAACAUAAGCACGAAUUUCAAAGAUUGGGUUCAUGAUAAUCACUUAUUCUCAUAAUCAAUUAUGCAUAAAAUCAAGAGAAAAAGAAUUAAACAAAUGAUUAUGAUAAAGACUAACCCCCUUACCUUUGAAGAUGAUUAUUCCUAAACUCUUGCUUCAAUUCAGCUCCUAAUCUUACCCCAAUUAUUCCUCAAGCUAUUCUCUUCAAAACCCUUGUUCUUCUCAUCACCUCUUUCUCUCUCUAGGAAAAUUUUAGUGAAGUGAACGAAAGAUAUUUUCUAUGACAACCCUAAUGUUAUCUCCCUUAAUGGGCUUAACUCAAAAUGCUAAUGGGCCUAACCCAUUCUAACAUAAUUCUAAAAAGUUUCUAUACACCCCACGGUAAUUACUAACAACGGUAAAACAUAACCAACUGUCACUAACGGUAAAAACUAAUCACAACACUAGUAACUUAGUAAAAUAAGGGUUCUCACUUAAUAUGAAAAUAAUUCUCACCCAAAUUACCAUUUUACCCUUACCCGUCAAAUGACCAAAAUACCCUCCUAAUACGGAAAUCCAUGUAAAUGCACCCACUGACAAUUAAUUACACACAAGCACCAAUAAUCACACACAAACACAUAAUAAAAGUAAUUAAAAUAAAUCUAGCUAAAAAUCGGGCUGUUACAUAAACCACCAACAAUUAAUUUUUUAUUUUUGUUUUAAAAAAAUAAUAAUUUACUUUUCUUCAUCUUCUUCCUCCAUCUUCUUCUUCCUCAUCUUCUUACACAUUCAAACCUAUAAAAUAAAGCUGAAUUUUUUUUUUAUAAACUUGAUCUUCAUCUCUUCUUCUCUCAAAAGUUUAAAACUCAAUUCAUUUUUAUAAAAACUCAAAUUCAGGAGUUUCCCUCCUUCCAAAUACUUCAAAACAAACCAUUUAUUAAGAAAGUGAGAAAGAGAGAAAUGAUUCAUUAACUUGAAUAGAAGUUCAUGAAGGUAUUUUUAUACAUUUCUCAAAUGUACUAUAUAUCUAAGAUGAAGUGUACUACAUAAAAUAACCUAAUUGUACAACACUAGCUUUGUGACUUGUACUGCAAGCUAUCUUCAUUCUCAUGCUUUUUAUCCUUUGAAUCUAAUAGCAUUCGAAUUAGAUGCAAACAAGACUGAGUAUUUUCGGAGAAUAAAGCAAAGCCACCAGACUAAAUAGAAUGAUCAACAACAAAAUUAGAACUAAAUCCUAAAUUUUAUCAGAAAAUUCACAUUCAAAAAACAAAUGAUUAACAGUUUCAUCUUUUCAAAAAAACAAUUUCAUCUUUCUCACAUCCUAUAGUAAUAACAAGAGAUUCAGAACGAAGAAUCUCACGACGAACUAAAUUGGCCUUUGUAGAAAUCCUAUUAUUGAGAAGCCACCAAUCAAACAAGGACAAUUUCAACAAAGUUGUUUUAUUCCAACUAACAUUCAAGAGAGCUGAAGAUGUUGGAUAAAUUAUUUAAUUAAUCAAUUAUAAAUUGAUUCUAACAAAUUUUCAGAAAUUAUUUUUAAUACUACUAUAAAUUAUGGUACAUUAAUGUUUUAAGAAUUAAGUAAUUGAUGAAUAUGUGUGUUAGACUCUUUUUCUGAAUGGACAUGAUGGAUCAAACCAUACAAUUAAGCUCAAUUCGAGGUUCGUGUCCUCGAUCGUUUAACUAAUUCAAAGUCAUCCUAUCAAACGGUUAAACAUAAAACAAUAAUGUAAUAUGUGUAUGCAUUCAUGAUCUAUCUUUGAUAAUGUAAAAUAUAUGUUGUAAUUUGUAUUUUGAUAUGGCUAACUCUGUUAAAUUCAACAAUGGUAUCGGAGAAAAAAUAUAUAUUUUAUGGGUAUUUGUUUUUGAAUCGUCUGAACGGAAUAUGUUUUCCCCGUAUACUUAUUUUCAAUUGUUUGCAUGGGGCUAUUGUAUUGUUUGUUAAACCCUAUGAAGAAAAUUGUUAGAAGGGCUAUGAUGUACUACUGUCGUACUGAGAGAUGUCAAUGAAUGACUAAUGGUUAGAAGGGUUUACGAAAUUCCUUGGAGUCACUGCUGAUUAUUAUAUGGUUGAAUUAUGGGGAAUUUAUGAGCGUCUUUGCAUAGCAAGACUCUUUGGUAGUUGUUUAGAACACAAGGCAUGAGAAUAAUGAUAGUGUUAUGGAUAUAAAUCUUAUGAAGAAAAUCGUAGUGUGAGAAUCAAACUUUAAAUCUUGAGAAAGAGUACAUUUCAAAAAUCCAAGUCAAAACCAUCAGUGAGAAAGUCGAAUGAGUCAAACUAAGAGAUUUUGAUCACUCAUGUGUCUCAAAAAGCUAACAUGAGUUAUAAAAUUUUGAAUUUUUUUCACAGUCAUAUUUAGUUCAUUAUAAAAUUUUGAUUUUUUUUCACAGUCUUAUUUAGUUCAUUAUAAAAUUUUCUCUUACAAAAGUUUAAGUUUUUUAAAAAUGAAUGAAUUAAAUGUUAAUUUUUUACGUUUUGCUGCUUUAAAAUUCAUAUUUUGUUAAAAAAAAUCUUUUUUUUUUUCAAUCAAAAGAAAAUAUAAAAAAAAGAGGAAAUAGAAAAGCUAAGGGGGCAUAAACCUGACUCAACAAUCACAUAAUCAACCCAUAAAGCGUAUUACAACAGUGAUUAAACAAAAGUGGUAUAAAGAUACAAAUGCUUUGCGGUCAAAUACACAAGUACAAUUCGGCAAACCCAACGCGGGAUACGAAACCAAAUUUCAAAAGAAAGUGACGUAAAAAACAACAAGCAUAACCAUCAAACCAGACUAGAGACGAAUCUAAAUGAAAUUCAAACUCUUUUUUUUUUUUUUUUUUGUGGCGUAUGAACUGCCGCCAACACGGACAGAUUCACUGACCACCUACCGCUACAAAUAAAGACAGCAAGCAUCGCGGCCCUUUCGAGCACAACAAACUCUAAAAAAAAAUAUCUAUUUUGAGAGAAACCAUUCUUGUAAAAGAAAAACAUUGAGAGAAAAAGUAGAUGGAACAUGGCAUAACAUUCAUUAAUUCGAUCUAACAAAAUUGAUAUCUAAGAUGUGUGAGUGUUGUAAAUCCUUCAAAUUUACAAGGAUUCAAGUCCUUGAACAAAAAGUCGAGCAAAAUCUUCCAUUUGUUGCUUGUUCAAAGUCAAACCAAUCUCAAUUCCACCAUCAUUAUUCCUAUUUCCCGAAAGAUAAAAAGCUCCUGGUCUAUCAACCGAAGUAACAUCAACUUUCUUAGGCUUACCCCACCCAAAAUCAAAACUAUACACCUCAAACCUAGGUGACCCGGUAAUAGAAAAAAUCUUAUAAGUCUCAUCCGUUCUAGAUGUUUUAGAUUGCAUCAUUGACAUCCAAUUUUCCAAACCAUUUAACACACCAUUUUCCAAAUCAUUCAACACAUCAAUUAUCCCUUUAAGAGCACUAAUAAACCCACCAUCUUCCAACAAUGCCUCAGUUUCAUGCACAACUAAUCUUGACACAAUACAAUUCCCAAAAUAAUUUUCAUUAAUUGGUGGAUCCAAGCGUGACCUACAAUCAACAGCAAAAACCAAAAAUGCCUUAUUGGGUUUUUGUUGGUCAACUUUAACCCCUAAUGACAACAAAUAAGCACAUGUAACCGCAAAAGUUGAAACCUUUUUAUUUUCAACCUUAGAUUGUGCAUAUUUCUUAAGCUUUUGAAUAUCCAAAAGUGAUAAUUCAAACAAACCUUUGAUUGCUUCACCUUUUGUUGCACUUAUUGUUUGCCAAACCUUUAAGCUACGAUUAUUUGUUUCUCCACCAAAAUUCAUCCAUUUUUUUGAAUGAAUUUCAUUUAUUCCUAAAGGGUCUUUUAUAAUGGACCUAUCAAAAAAAGGUGUUAGAUUUUGAGGUAAAAACAAAGAGGGUGUGUUUUUUUCAAGGUUGGAACAAAAAUAAGACCAAGCUUUCAUAAACAAGGUUGAAGAUUUUCCAUCAACAGCUGCAUGGUGUGUGGUUAUACCAAUACAAAAUCCAUGGUUAGGAAAAAAAGUGACUUGUAGUGAAAUAAUUGAUGCUUUUUCAUGUGAAAUUUCCAAACUUGGGAUUAAGUUUUUUCUUUUUUCAACUUCACAAAGAUUGGAACAUAAAAUAUUGAAAUUUUCAUUUGACUCAGCUACAAUUAAGGGAAUGGAAUCACUAGGGACAUAGUUGAUGAUGGGAUGUGAUGAAUCUUG
rnacentral:lncRNA from 1 species